rnacentral:lncRNA from 1 species
UACUUGCGCUGGGCUUCUGGCUUGCCUGCUGGGCCUGCUGUUGGGUCAGGCCUACUUCUUUCUUUCUUUUUUUCUGCUAGGCUACCUGCGUUGUGCCUGCGCUGCUGGGCUACACAAAGUGGGCCUGUUGUAGGCCUGCUAGUUGUUUUUUCUUUCUUUUUUUUCUCCUUCUCUGCUGCUUGGGCCUGGGUGUGCUAGGCCUACUAGGUCAGGCCUACUACCUAGCCUGUUGAUUGGCUACUAGCUGGCCGAGUUGCGGGUCACACGGGUCGGGUCGGGUCGACCCGACUGCUUUAAAAUUUUUUAUUUUUAUUUUCCCUUUUAUUUUUCUUAUUUUUAUUUUUAUUUUUAUUUUAUUUUUUAUUUUUUCUUUCCUUUCUUCUUCUUCUUCUUCUUCUUCUUCUUCUUCUUCUUCUUCUUCUUCUUUCUCUUCUUUUUCUUCUUCUUUUUCCUUCUUCUUCCUCAAAACCCUAGCUUGCAUCGCUACCUCCUUCAGGCCGCCGCUGCUAUGUCGCUACUUCCUCCACUCGUGGUGCGACGGUGUCGAUGCUCCCCCUCUUCUUCCUUCUCUUUUCUCCUUUCCUUCCUCUUUUCUCUCUUUUUUUUGAAGCUUUUCUCUCUUUUCUUUUUUUUGAUUUCGGGGGGAGGGGUUUUUGAUUUUGGGGGAAAAAUACCCCUUUUGUAGUUGAUUUUUGCUUCUUUUUGCAGGUGGUAGGUGGCUAAGGAGGCCAUGAUGAGCCUAGGCCGGUCGCCGCCGUGUAGGUGUGUAACUUGCAUUGGCAGCUGCCAGAAAGACCAGAUUGCAAAUGCAGUAAAACUUUUGGGGCCAAAGUAUAAUUUCCAAAAAGUUUAGGGGUUAAAAUGUAAUCUCUUAAAAGUUUAAAGGUUAAAAUGUAAUUUUAGAAAGUUAAGGGGUCAAAAUGUAAUUUUAAAAAAUGAAAUUUGACCCGGACAAAAUUCAGUGAUUACAGCUGCCCUUUUUUGCUCAUUGUUGUGAAACAGG